GCUGGGUGUGCUGGUGUGUGCCUGGUAUUCCAGAUACUUGGAAGGCUGAGGCAGGAGGAUUGCUUGAGUCCUGGAGUUUUGGGCUGUAGUGUGCUAUGCUCAUCAGGUGUCCCCACUAAGUUAGCAUCAAUAUGUGUGACUUCCUGGGACACGGUGGUGGGGGGACCACUAAGUUGUCUAAAGAGGGGUGAACAGGUCCAGGUUGGAGCAGGUCAAAACUCUGGUGCUAAUCAAUAGUAGCCACUGCACUCCAGCCUGGGCAACAUAGUGAGACCUUGUCUCU
rnacentral:SRP_RNA from 1 species